GCCCUCCUCUUUUUGAAUCUUAGUCUCCUGGUGCAGUGACUUCACACUGCAACAGGGGAGGACACUUCUUAACUUGGGGUCCUGUGACUGCAUGCCUUCAACUUCAAGUCUCUCUGAGCUGCUGAUGGUGGAAGAAGCAGCCUCCAAAUAUGCCAGCCUGCAGUGUCUGUGCUGGGUGAGCUGUGGCCUCGAUCCUUGCAGAGCCUUUUGUGGUGUGCAGCUGCUGUGAGCUCUGCUGUAACUUGGAAAGCUUUGCAGCCCAGGGCUGGGGAACUGGGCUGAUGCUGUCCUUGGCUCCAAAGCCUUCCUAGAUGGUGUCAGCUGUCAAACAACUCCUGUGUAGUGAGAGCCUUCCAUGUCAACCAUUCGUUCCCGUUCCCUGGAGCCUGUAGGCCAGCUGCACUUCCCUCAGCCAUACAUGCAGUGUCCCUGCUGAGUGGAUACACACUCAGUUAUCCCCUUUCCUUGUGCAGAGACCUUCCAGCAUUCCCAUGUUGCUUGGUAUCAGGUGGGCAAAGGGCUGUACCAAGGCUGAUUGGAUCUUGAUAGGCUAACAAGGGCAGAACACCAGUGAGAGAGCUGCAGCCAUUCCCACCUGAGCUCCUGAUAGGAGUCCUUCCUCAACCCAGGCAUCAGCUUGUCUUGGAGACCUCCAACCUGCUGUUUGAUAGGACUGAAACAAGCUAACGCGUUCCCAUCUUAUUCACACCCUUCUCCAAAGCUCUGAUGUGCCAAACCAGGGCCAGGCCCCUCCUGGGACACUGCCUCCCCUUCUGAGCACCUGUGCAGGUAUGUCCCAUUAUCCCAUUAUCUUUGCUUUUAGCAAGGUAUGUUACCAUCAGAUUACUUCCACACAAAAAGCACAAUUGGGUUUAGCUGCUCCUACCUUUGGAAACUCAACAUUUAGCACAACUCUUAGUAUUGUCCCCCUUUAAAUCAGGGAUGAUCGCUAUUCAUUCUGCACGUUAGCUGCAAUACGGGCUGAUGUUUCUGCUGCUCUCGGUUCAAAGAGCCCCACAAGCACUUACUUUCUUUGGUGGGCAAUGGAUUUUUCUCUCUUGUUUCUGUCUUCUUCAGCUUGGUCUUAUCAAAGGUUUCAAUUUCUGCGAAAUCUGGUUUGUCAGACAUGGUGGGUCCUGACAAAGAAAGGGAAAGCACACCCGGCUCUGUUAGCUCGUGCUGUGCUAUCAGCCAUCUGCAAGGCAAAGCCUGCUGCAAAAGUGAAGAAAUGCAGUAAAAAUGUUCAUUCAAAACCAAACACAGAUCUCACGCCUCAAUCUGGGACCGCUCCCCAAAGCUUGGUGCUCUCAGAGCAGAAGAGGAAAGACAUGAGUAGAAUUUAAUAUAGAUUUCUCAGCAUCAGUUUCUAGAAGUCACAUUUGGAACACAGAAAGAAAACUAAAUACAGACAAUGCAUUCAGAGAAUAACCCACAGCACCUCCUGACCUGAACUGCUACUUUGAGGAAUGCUGAUACCCAGAAAUUCUGCAGUAAGCCACGAAUCCGACAUGCACAAAUAGUUUCAAUAACGGUUUUGUUUUCAUUAAUAGGCUUUUUCUGUAAUUCUGAGUACACUGCCCCAGGUCGGUCCCGCAGCGGGGGGGAUUAGCUGCUGUGUGCAUUUGUGCCCGACAGUAGGAGGGCUGCUUCGCAGGGUCCUUUGUUUGCUCUCGCACUCAAUAUUUGAGUCGGUGCGUUCGAUUGGACCCCAUAUAGCAGAUACUCAUAAAGCACACCAGCAUUAAAUGCUGCACUGGCAAACCAUCCCUCAUCCAGUUCCCAUUUUUAAUAGGAAUUCAAGCUAAAAUCCAUUCCAUGCAUUGUUCUGCUGAGCUCAGCACAGGUUCUAGCAAGGAUGAUCGGCCUGCGGGUGCUGGCAGGCGGAUACCUUUUCCUUCCUUAAGACAACCUGAUUCUAUUCCUAUCUGCUCUGAGACAACAGAAGCAAAUAUUCACAGGGAAAAAAACAAAAAAACAACAAACCAUCAAAAAAAGCCAAAGCAAAGCUACUGAAAGCACAUGGCAUUACCGUCUGGCUGCUUUCUCCUCAGCUGCUCGGUGACCGUCUGAGGCAGCGCGUGUUUAAAAAGGUCACGUUAAUCCCUCCUCUCCUCCCACCCCCGGUCCCAUCGCCAUUAAUAUUGAUUAGUUCUGUGCUGGGAUUGCUCAGCAUUUAGGGAAAGGACAGAUUGCCUCUGCAGAAAAUGCACGAGAGGGGGAAAUGGAGAAACCAACACAGAAAACAGCCAAAAUAUAUCUUGAUUUUUUUCUCUCUUCCUUUUCCAAGAUGAUGGUGUUUGAGUUUCCUGCCCUUCUUCUGUAAUGCCGAGGUUUGGAGUUCACCUAAGGGCUGGUGCUAGGUUGUGGGUGAUGAGUUCGGGGGAUACCCUACCCCUGGAGUUGGCUCUGUGCACAGUGACGGUGGCACAGCUGCCACCGGAGGCUCAUCCAUCAGCUGGUGGCCAGGUGUGUGUCCUGGAAGGAGGAACAAAGAAUCUCCCCUUUGUUCUCAGGUUUGGCAGCUACAAAUCCUCGUGGAGGUGCCUCCCACUGCAAGGCAGUCCCUGGGAAGCAGCCACCUUCCUGCUGGGCUUUGUGAGAAGCUGUGUUUGCACGUCCUGCUGACAGAAGGAAAUCAUGCUCUGGGUGCUGAGUGAUGUGAUUUUAAAAACCCUUUGUCAUGGC